rnacentral:rRNA from 1 species
GACGUAGGGUGCGAGCGUUGUCCGGAUUUAUUGGGCGUAAAGAGCUCGUAGGCGGCUCGUCGCGUCGACCGUGAAAACUUGGGGCUUAACCCUAAGCUUGCGGUUGAUACGGGCGGGCUAGAGUUCGGUAGGGGGAGACUGGAAUUCCUGGUGUAGCGGUGAAAUGCGCAGAUAUCAGGAGGAACACCGGUGGCGAAGGCGGGUCUCUGGGCCGAUACUGACGCUGAGGAGCGAAAGCGUGGGGAGCGAACAGG